rnacentral:rRNA from 1 species
GACAGAGGGUGCAAACGUGUUCGGAAUUACUGGGCGUAAAGCGCGUGUAGGCGGCAGGGCAUGUCGGAUGUGAAAUCCCGUGGCUCAACCACGGAAGUGCACCCGAAACUGCCCAGCUUGAGUCUCGGAGAGGAAGGCGGAAUGCUUGGUGUAGAGGUGAAAUUCGUAGAUAUCAAGCGGAACACCGGUGGCGAAGGCGGCCUUCUGGACGAUGACUGACGCUGAGACGCGAAAGCGUGGGGAGCAAACAGG